AAAAUAUAUGAGUUAUCUAUGAUAAGUAAUACUCAUAUUCUGAAGUGAAUAUAAGAUCUUACAUAGUUAGACAAAUUUAAUAUCGUUUAUACUAGAAUAUAAAAUUUUAAUUAUUAUCUCGUUAUUGUUUUAUUAACAUAUGAUUGAUUAUUAAAAUACAUGGAAGUAAUUUUGAUUAUAAGAUCUCAUUAAGGGAGUAACUGAUAAGCAAUGAAAAGUAAAUUAGAAGUUUUGAAAGAACUACAAGUUUCAAAAGAAUUAAAAGUUUCAAGAGUAUAUUUGGCUUAACCGGAUUGGUCAUCCUGGUUUAAUGAUGAUGUGAAAGUAUUGAGAAUUAUGUGGACAUUAGGUGAAAAACCAGAAGAUUCUCCCUAAUGAUUUAUCAAAUGUUACUUGCUCAGAAAGCAAUAUGAUAAUGUGAUUUUUACCAGUGUAAGUAAUUUGGACUUUAUCUAUUCGUAAGUAUAUACAAGGAGAUGAUUAUGGGUUGAUCACCCACUAUAUGACAUUUAGAUACCUAAUGGGUAUAAAAGAUGCAUCGAUUCAAUGGACGCAUUGACUCGAUUGUUGCAUCGACAAGAAGGUCAUAUUUAUCCUUGUUAUAAACCCGCAACAUAGAGUUUACGAGAUUACUUUCUUGAUUAAAGUACAAGAGUAUUUCAGUGUUUAUUUAUAAUAACCAUUAUUGGAUAUCCGUUGGGAUAAGUGUUUAACAUUUUGAAAUUCAUGUUCAUACACAAAAUGGUUUAGUAACAUCGAUACGCAUCAAGCCAAUGAAUAAUUAAUAGUUUUCCCCAUUAUUAUUGGUUUUGGGUCAGAAACCAAAUAGUUUUCAUCUAAAAGCUUUGAAUGUGAAAAGUGCUCCACCACAGCACGCAGAGAUGAACCCUCAAAGGAGGAUAAAAAUACAUGUUGGAUAUGAAUGAUAACUAAGCCAUCCUAGAAGGAUUUAUAUACCGCUCGUUUUGAAGACUAUCAUAUUAUAUAGUCAGCUAUUCCAACAUAAGGGGGAAAAUGUAUACAGCUGGUGAAAAAGAUAAAUAGAAAUGAAUUAUCAAUGAUCCUCGGAGUAAAGAAUGUAUAUUAAGAGUCCAAAAGAUAAUUCAAUUACAGAAUUUAGCGUUGUAAUUGCCAGACGCAUUUGCUGACCCAAAUAAAGUGAUGAAGUCACUUAUACCAGUUGUAAAUUAAAUGCUCCAGAAUAUAAUGAAUGUCCUGUAAGGACCAAUUUCAAACUGCUAUUGAGUCUUAAGAUCGCAUGAAGCGUAAUAGACCUUGGUUUCAAAUAUAAAUAUCCUCGUAAAAGUGAAGGAGCACAAAAUUAAAAAUGACCAAAUUGAGGAAAUAUAUAUUUUGAUGAUCUCUUGAAGAGAGUGAAUGAUCUCUAAAAGAGACAUAAACAUGACAAAUGAAACAUUCAAGUACUUGACAAUGAAGAGAUCUAGCUAGCUAUGUCAUGUCAAAAUAUAAUGGAAUCAAAAGCAAAUCGACGUCGUAAUAUAUUUGCAUGCUAUGAGCAGUUGAUAUUAUAGACAAAAGGAGGAUUAUGAAAGAAAGUCUAUUGAAAAGUGUACACAAAGUAAUGAUUAGCCAAUAAAUGGAAAAGAAGAAAUAGACAUAUAAUUAUAAUCUCUAGUAGAGAUAUUUGGACUAGUAGUCUAUGCACAUGAUGUGUAAAACCAGUGGAAAAUAAAUGAGUCUUUAUGUGAAAGAAUAGUGAAAUUAAUGAGAUUUUCACAAAGAUAAGAAAUGUAUUAUGAAGAGAUAUAUUCUCUUGUGGUGGAUGUAAUAUUUUUUAAGUAUCUAAAGUCUGACAAUAAGAGACGGAACACUGGAUAUGACAUUUAUAUGAAAUUCUUGAAAGAUAUAAUCUCUGAAGGAUUAAUUAUAUGAGAAUUAUGUUCUCUAGAACUCUACUCGAUCGAAUAAAAAAAAAAAAAAAAAAAAAAAAAAAAAGAAAUAUGUAACAUGACAUAUAAUCAUAU
rnacentral:sRNA from 1 species